UACGGGCGAAGCCUAAAACUCAAAAGACUUGACGGUGUUCCAACCCCCCUAGAGGAGCCUGUUCCGUAAUCGACAACCCCCGAUACACCUAACCACCCUUAGACCAAACUCAGCCUAUAUACCGCCGUCGAACAGCUUACCUUUAAAAGAUCAAAAGUGAGCCAAAUAGUAAACACUAAUAAGUCAGGUCAAGGUGUAGCUUAUAGGGUG
rnacentral:rRNA from 1 species